GAAACCUGCCAGGGGUAAGUCAUGAUUUUCGUCAAGAUUUUGGUUUUGUUUGUUGGCAUGAUUGAUUUAGCUCAUGUUGAAUUGGUUCAUGAGUUGAUCAAGUAGGCCGAGAAACGGAGCCACCUCCGAAUUUUGUGUUUUAUUUUUCUUAUCUUUGAAGUGGA